rnacentral:rRNA from 1 species
AUUGAACGCUGGCGGCAUGCUUUACACAUGCAAGUCGAACGGCAGCGCGGGCUUCGUCCUGUCGGCGGGUGGGGAACGGGUGAGGAAUGCAUCUAAACGGGCCCAGUAGUGGUGGUUAGGCCUGCCAAAUCCGGAUUUAUACUACAUCCGAACAUACGGUGAAAGGGGGGGAACGAGAGCCUUCGCGCUUUUGGUACUGGCGAUGUCGGAUUAGCUAGUUGGUGGGGUAAAGGCCUACCAAGGCGACGAUCCGUAGCAGGUCUGAGAGGACGACCAGCCACACUGGGACUGAGACACGGCCCAGACUCCUACGGGAGGCAGCAGUGGGGAAUUUUGGACAAUGGGGGCAAGCCUGAUCCAGCCAUGCCGCGUGCGGGAAGAAGGCCUUCGGGUUGUAAAGCGCUUUUGUUAGGGAAGAAAAGCUUUGUGCUAAUACCGACAGGGGAUGACGGUACCGGAAGAAUAAGCACCGGCUAACUACGUG